rnacentral:rRNA from 1 species
AACCUGGUUGAUGCCUGCCAGUAGUCAUAUGCGUUGUGCUCAAAGACUAAGCCAUGCAUGUCUAAGUAUAAAUGAUAUACAGUAAAACUGCGAAUGGCUCAUUAAAACAGUUAUAGUUUAUUUGGUAAUCAAAAUUACAUGGAUAACCGUGGUAAUUCUAGAGCUAAUACAUGCAGUCAAACCCGACUUUUUGGAAGGGUUGUAUUUAUUAGAUAUCAGACCAAUAUUCCUUGUGUCUAUUGUGGUGAAUCAUAGUAACUGAUCGGAUCGCAUGGGCUUGUCCCGCGACAAACCAUUCAAGUUUCUGCCCCAUCAGCUUUCGAUGGUAGUGUAUUGGACUACCAUGGCUUUUACGGGUAACGGAGGAUUAGGGUUCGAUUCCGGAGAGGGAGCCUGAGAAACGGCUACCACAUCUAAGGAAGGCAGCAGGCGCGUAAAUUACCCAAUACUGAUUCAGUGAGGUAGUGACAAGAAAUAGCGGGUCGGGAUUUUUUCCCGGGACUGAAAUGAGACGAAUUUACACCCCUUAUCGAGGAUCCAUUGGAGGGCAAGUCUGGUGCCAGCAGCCGCGGUAAUUCCAGCUCCAAUAGC